GACGAACCACCCAAACGUUAUUCGGAAUUACUGGGCUUAAAGAGUGCGUAGGCGGCUCGGAAAGUAAGGUGUGAAAUCCCACAGCUCAACUGUGGAACUGCGCUUUAAACUUCCGAGCUAGAGGGAUAUAGAGGUGAGCAGAACAGAUGGUGGAGCGGUGAAAUGCGUUGAUAUCAUCUGGAAUACCGGAGGCGAAGGCGGCUCACUGGGUAUCUUCUGACGCUGCGGUACGAAAGCCAGGGUAGCGAACGGG
rnacentral:rRNA from 1 species